rnacentral:piRNA from 1 species
UNGUGGGUAGGGCGUCUCAGCAUGGCCAC